AGUUCGACCGGGUCCACCGACCUGGUCACCAUGAGGAAGUUGCGGAUCAGGAUCUCGUGGCGGUUCUC
rfam:Nocardia brasiliensis ATCC 700358, complete genome.